rnacentral:rRNA from 1 species
GNGCACGCUAAUACUGCAGUCGAAAAGGUUACCCUAACGACUUCUGGUGUAAAAGUCAAGAGGGUGACGGGGGGUGUGUAAACGGCCGGGAACUACCUCUCGAGGGGGAUAACACCUGGAAUCAGGUGCUAUUCCGGCUUAAGAGUUUAAGCUGCAUGCCGGAAUACUGAAAGGCGCUUUCUUUUGUAGAUUUUGGAUGGACCCGCGGUGCAUUACCUAGUUGGUGUCCCAAUGGCUCACCAGGGCCACCCUGGAUAUCCGAGGUGAGAGGGUUUUCGGCCACCCCGGGACUGCUACAGGUUCCAAACUCCUACGGGAGGCAGCAGUCCGGAAUAAUCGGCGAUGGACAAAAGUAUGACUGAGCUACGUCGCGGGAUUGAACCAAGUUUUCGGAACGUAAAACUAUGAUGACCAAGAACAACCAGGAAGUUUGUCCCCGAACGGCAACCGACGGUUUCUAACCGGAAAAACGAUGUUAAGUACCUGCCAGGUUCCUCCGGUAUACUUAAGUUGAAACCCAUGUCCCGACUUUUUGGGCGGACCCCGAGCACUCGCUUUUUCUUAAAUCUUAUGGGAAAACCCCCCCCGCAGACGGGUAAAGUCAUUUGCCACUGCGAUAAAUUGGGUGCAAACCACCAAAACUUAACUCCCCGUGUUUUUGGGGGUGGGCCACCAUGGUUUGCUAAAACCGUUUUGUCCCCCACCGUUUCUAAGCUCCGCGACCGAUUCUGAAGCGAAAAACCCCCGUUCGCCCCCAGGGGUUCCCCCCACUCUUUUCCCCCUUUCCCCCCCACCCCUGGGAGUUCAUUUUCCCUCUUUUUNCCCCCAUUUUUCCGGUUUCCAAGACCCUCCCCCGGUUGGACCGGGGGGUUUUCCACCCAAAUAUAAAUACACACCGGGGACGCGUGUCCCCCCAAAAAAGAUGAAAAACCGUUGUAACCUAA